UUCUUACAUGGUGAAGCAUUUUUAUUAAUCAUCUGUGUUUGAAGUUGUGCUGCAGAGAAUUAUAUCUCCAAUAAGCUUCUUAUGUAACUUUUGUUUGUGUAGAUUCAAGCUGCAUUUCAAACGGACGAAAUCAGGAGAACUCCUCCAACACCACAAGAUGAGAUGAGAGCAGGAAUGAGCUACUUCCACGAUAAAUGAAGAACAUAGGGAUAAAUGAGCGGGUAAUCAGAGAGUGACUCCUGAAGUGACAAGGAAUGUUUGUUUACUAGCUAGAAUGAUGGCUGCUAAUUUGUAUUAUUCCCAAAUAUUGGAUGGGAAUGCCAAAAUUUCUACGUCGGCUCAAUACAGCUUUGAAGAACAUAGGGAUAAAUGAGCGUGUACCUUACAAUGCUCCUCUUAUUCAAUUCUCAUCUUGGAUGUGUGGUGAUCGGGAUGGUAAUCAGAAAGUGACUCCUGAAGUGACAAAGGAUGUUUGCUUACUAGCUAGAAAAUAAUGAUGGCUGCUAAUUUGUAUUAUUUCCAAAUAGAAAAUCUUAUGUUUAAAGUAAUUUAUUUUUAGAGAAAUAAUUUGUAUUAUUCUCAAAUAGAAGAUCUUAUGCCUGCUAAUUUAUUAUGGCAGCCUAAAUU